GCCUGCCCUGUGACCUAUGUUUAACGGCCGCGGUAUCUUGACCGUGCAAAGGUAGCGCAAUCACUUGUCUUUUAAAUGAAGACCCGUAUGAAUGGCAAGACGAGGGCUUGACUGUCUCCUCCCCCCAGUCAACGAAAUUGAUCUUCCCGUGCAGAAGCGGGAAUUUUUACAUAAGACGAGAAGACCCUAUGAAGCUUUAGAUUUAAGCACAGACUAUGUUAAUCCCCUAAAACUACAUAGAACAAACCGAUUAGCCCCUGUGCUAAUGUCUUUGGUUGGGGCGACCACGGGGAAAAGACCAACCCCCAUGUGGAGUGAGGACACGCAACGGCCCUCAGACCCAAGAGCGACAGCUCUAAGCAACAGAAAUUCUGACCUUCAGAUCCGGCAACGCCGAUCAACGAACCGAGUUACUCUAGGGAUAACAGCGCAAUCCUCUUUUAGAGCCCAUAUCGACAAGGGGGUUUACGACCUCGAUGUUGGAUCAGGACCUCCUAAUGGUGCAGCCGCUAUUUAGGGUUCGUUUGUUCAACGAUUAAAGUCCUACGUGAUCUGA
rnacentral:rRNA from 1 species